rnacentral:rRNA from 1 species
ACUCCUACGGGAGGCAGCAGUGGGGAAUAUUGGACAAUGGGGGGAACCCUGAUCCAGCCAUGCCGCGUGUGUGAAGAAGGCCUUAUGGUUGUAAAGCACUUUAAGCGAGGAGGAGGCUACUGAGACUAAUACUCUUGGAUAGUGGACGUUACUCGCAGAAUAAGCACCGGCUAACUCUGUGCCAGCAGCCGCGGUAAUACAGAGGGUGCGAGCGUUAAUCGGAUUUACUGGGCGUAAAGCGUGCGUAGGCGGCUUUUAAGUCGGAUGUGAAAUCCCCGAGCUUAACUUGGGAAUUGCAUUCGAUACUGGGAAGCUAGAGUAUGGGAGAGGAUGGUAGAAUUCCAGGUGUAGCGGUGAAAUGCGUAGAGAUCUGGAGGAAUACCGGAUGGCGAAGGCAGCCAUCUGGCCUAAUACUGACGCUGAGGUACGAAAGCAUGGGAGCAAACAGGAUUAGAUACCCCUGGUAGGAUAGCG